rnacentral:misc_RNA from 1 species
UCCGGUUUGUCACCGGCAGUCUGGCGUGAGUCCCCAACUUAAUGCUGGCAACACGCCACGGGGGUUGCGCUCGUUGCGGGACUUAACCCAACAUCUCACGACACGAGCUGACGACAGCCAUGCAGCAUCUGUGGUGCACCCUCGAAGGUCACACGUUUCCGUGCGCUUGCAGCACCAUGUCAAGUCCAGGUAAGGUGGGGAUGACGUAGGAGAGUACGUCC